rnacentral:rRNA from 1 species
CCCUUAGAUGUUCUGGGCCGCACGCGUGCUAAACUGAACGGUUCAAUGGGUAAGGUAGUGCGAAAGCAUGACCUAAUCUCGAAAUCCGUUCGUGCUGGGGAUAGAAGCUUGCAAUUAUCCUUCUUGAACGAGGAAUACCUUGUAAGCGUGAGUCAUCAUCUCACGCUGAAUACGUCCCUGCCCUUUGUACACACCGCCCGUCGCUCCUACCGAUUGAGUGUUCCGGUGAGGCUUUGGGAGAAUGGCCUCAACAUGAGUUUAUCGUGUUUUGCCGUUUGAACUUAGUCAAACCUUAUCACUUAGAGGAAGGAGAAGUCGUAACA